rnacentral:rRNA from 1 species
GACGAACGCUGGCGGCGUGCUUAACACAUGCAAGUCGAACGGUAAGGCUCCAGCUUGCUGGGGUACACGAGUGGCGAACGGGUGAGUAACACGUGGGUGACCUGCCCUGCACUUCGGGAUAAGCCUGGGAAACUGGGUCUAAUACCGGAUAGGACCGCACCGUGAGGGUGUGGUGGAAAGUUUUUUCGGUGUGGGAUGGGCCCGCGGCCUAUCAGCUUGUUGGUGGGGUAAUGGCCUACCAAGGCGGCGACGGGCAGCCGGCCUGAGAGGGUGGACGGCCACAUUGGGACUGAGACACGGCCCAGACUCCUACGGGAGGCAGCAGUGGGGAAUAUUGCACAAUGGGCGGAAGCCUGAUGCAGCGACGCCGCGUGGGGGAUGACGGCCUUCGGGUUGUAAACUCCUUUCACCAUCGACGAAGGGUUUCUGACGGUAGAUGGAGAAGAAGCACCGGCUAACUACGUGCCAGCAGCCGCGGUAAUACGUAGGGUGCGAGCGUUGUCCGGAAUUACUGGGCGUAAAGAGCUCGUAGGUGGUUUGUCGCGUCGUCUGUGAAUUCCGGGGCUUAACUCCGGGCGUGCAGGCGAUACGGGCAUAACUUGAGUACUGUAGGGGAGACUGGAAUUCCUGGUGUAGCGGUGAAAUGCGCAGAUAUCAGGAGGAACACCGGUGGCGAAGGCGGGUCUCUGGGCAGUAACUGACGCUGAGGAGCGAAAGCAUGGGGAGCGAACAGGAUUAGAUACCCUGGUAGUCCAUGCCGUAAACGGUGGGCGCUAGGUGUGGGUUUCCUUCCACGGGAUCCGUGCCGUAGCUAACGCAUUAAGCGCCCCGCCUGGGGAGUACGGCCGCAAGGCUAAAACUCAAAGGAAUUGACGGGGGCCCGCACAAGCGGCGGAGCAUGUGGAUUAAUUCGAUGCAACGCGAAGAACCUUACCUGGGCUUGACAUAUACAGGAUCGCGCCAGAGAUGGUGUUUCCCUUGUGGCUUGUAUACAGGUGGUGCAUGGUUGUCGUCAGCUCGUGUCGUGAGAUGUUGGGUUAAGUCCCGCAACGAGCGCAACCCUUGUCUUAUGUUGCCAGCACGUUGUGGUGGGGACUCGUAAGAAACUGCCGGGGUUAACUCGGAGGAAGGUGGGGAUGACGUCAAAUCAUCAUGCCCCUUAUGUCCAGGGCUUCACACAUGCUACAAUGGUCGGUACAGUGGGUUGCCAGUCCGUGAGGGCGAGCUAAUCCCGCAAAGCCGGUCUCAGUUCGGAUCGGGGUCUACAACUCGACCCCGUGAAGUCGGAGUCGCUAGUAAUCGCAGAUCAGCAACGCUGCGGUGAAUACGUUCCCGGGCCU